AAAGUUGAAAAGAACUUUGAAGAGAGAGUUCAAGAGUACGUGAAACCGUUCAGGGGUAAACCUGAGAAACCCAAAAGAUCGAAUGGGGAGAUUCAUCGUCAGCGUGUUUGAUAUAUAUAUGAGUUAUGAUGUGGAUUAUCCUUUUACGAGGAUAUUAAUCUAUACAUACUUGUAAUUAUUUUAUUGUGAAACAUUGUCGGCGUGCACUUCUCCCCUAGUAGGACGUCGCGACCCGUUGGGUGUCGGUCUACGGCCUGAUUGGGUAGCCUUUGAUUGUAAAAAAUUAAAGACCAAUUAGUGUUUUCUGACCGACUGCUCGGCGGUACUCGUACGGUAUUGAGUCGCAUUAUAUGCGUCCACACCCGUCGCAAGCGAGGCCAGUGUUUUUAAUCCCGGUAGUUUACGGACCUAGUGCCGUCGCUGGGCCUGGCCAGCUGUUGGCUGUUGCGGUGUUCUGGGACUGACUCUUAUUAAUAAUUACCGGUCGGCGACGCUACUGCUUUGGGUACUUUCAGGACCCGUCUUGAAACACGGACCAAGGAGUCUAACAUGUGCGCGAGUCAUUGGGAUUUUUUUAUUAAAUUAAACCUAAAGGCGCAAUGAAAGUAAAGAUCGUCCUUGCGUCGAUCGAGGGAGGAUGAGUCGUGUUACGAUGCGGCUCCGCACUCCCGGGGCGUCUCAUUCUCAUUGCGAGAAGAGGCGCACCCAGAGCGUAC
rnacentral:rRNA from 1 species